CCUACGGGAGGCAGCAGUGAGGAAUAUUGGUCAAUGGACGGAAGUCUGAACCAGCCAUGCCGCGUGAAGGAAGACGGCUCUAUGAGUUGUAAACUGCUUUUGUACAAGGGUAAACCUGAAUACGUGUAUUCAGCUGAACGUACUGUACGAAUAAGGAUCGGCUAACUCCGUGCCAGCAGCCGCGGUAAUACGGAGGAUCCAAGCGUUAUCCGGAUUUAUUGGGUUUAAAGGGUGCGUAGGCGGAUUGAUAAGUUAGAGGUGAAAUGUCCGAGCUUAACUCAGGAACUGCCUCUAAUACUGUUGGUCUAGAGAGUAGAUGCGGUAGGCGGAAUGUAUGGUGUAGCGGUGAAAUGCUUAGAGAUCAUACAGAACACCGAUUGCGAAGGCAGCUUACCAAUCUAUAUCUGACGUUGAGGCACGAAAGCGUGGGGAGCAAACAGGAUUAGAUACCCGAGUAGUC
rnacentral:rRNA from 1 species